UUUCCUCCAUGAUAUUUUGCCUCCUUAAAAUUUUAGAAAUAUUUUCAGGAAUUUACAGCGUUAAUAGAGAGGACAAAAUGAUCAAAUUACCCUUUCUUCUUCUAUAAGAAAAAAUAAAAUUUUAAUAUAUUUUUAUUAUUUUUAAGAGUAUUUUCGAUAUAAAUUAUAAAAAAUAGGCGGAAUAAUAAUGGAAUCCUGACGGACGGUAGUUAAAUACAACAACUUGAAAUGUUGAGGGAAUAAAAUAUUGAUUCUUAAAAGUUAGGAAGACAAAGUGAAAAAGCGAAUAUUUAUAAGGAGAUUUUCUAUAUUUUAUAUUUUAGCCUUGUAUUUUUGUCGAAUUUGAAUUAAGGGAAAACUUCAAAAACCCCCCCUGUGGUUUCGUAGUUUCUCACUUUGUCCUCCUGUGAUUUAAAAUGUAUCAAUUUGCCCCCCUGUGGUUUCUUUUUUCUCUUUUUCUUAUCAGUUUCAUUAUUUUUUUUAAAAUCAGUAAUAAAGUUAAAAUUAAAGGAUACUAAAGUAAAUAUUUGAUAAAUCUAGAUGGGUAUCUGAAGUUUUUUGUAUAUAAUUUAAUAAAAUAUUAACGAAAAAGCUAUCGAAAAGAUAAAAACGAAACCACAGGGGGAUAAUUUGAUACAUUUUAAACCACAGG
rnacentral:lncRNA from 1 species